rnacentral:tRNA from 2 species
GGGGUGAUAGCUCAGCUGGGAGUAGCGUACGACUGAAGAUCGUAAGGUCGCCGGUUCAAUCCCGGCUCACCCCA